UGUUGUAAUCUAGAACCUAUUCCACCUAAUCUCUGUCAGUUGUUGAUAUGUCAUUGUGGGAAAUUCAAAUAUGUGCCCAUAGGAUUUCACCGCCUCACUCGUUUGAAGAUGCUGCAAAUUGGUUUGUUCUGGGAGGAGCUGGACGCCUUCCUUGAUUUUCAGCUUCCACCACCAUCACAUGAUUCACAACUUGAAAGCUUAGAGUUGGUGGGGUGGCCUAAGCUCAAGUCUCUGCCCCAACAAAUUCAGCACUUUACUUUUUUAAAAACUCUCUGGAUAGGAAAGUUUAUAGGACUAGAGGCUCUUCCUGAAUGGUUGGGAAAUCUUACAUCUCUUGAGACUCUACAUAUCUGGCUUUGCAAGAAUCUCAAGUAUCUACCUACACUAAAUGCUAUGAAAGGCCUCACCAAAUUGAAGAAGCUCUACAUUGAGGGAUGUCCCCUGCUCAAGGAAAGAUGCACCAAGGAGACUGGCCCAGAAUGGCUCAAGAUUUCUCACAUCCCAGAACUUGACUUUUGGUGAAGCUACGGAAUGCCUGCCAUACUAAACUAGAAUGCCUGGUCACAUUUCAAGAGGAAAAUGUAUUAUCGAUUGAUUUCACUCAAGUUACAAGGUUAAUCAAUUCCUAUUUGCCAGAGAUUUAUCCCUAAAGCAGGGUUCUAUCAUACUUAAUGGGAAGAUCAGAUGAAGCUGAGUGGUUGAAGAUCCAGUCACAGUAGUUCAAUCACCUCUCCCAUAGUCCCAUGUGUUAAUUCAGCAGCAGAUAUGAGAAUGAGAAGUAUCCACCUCAAGUGGCAGCUAUGCAAACAAAAGAUGCACUGAGGACAACCGACAUGAGUGGCUGACUUCUUAUUUUCCAAGGGUAGAGUGUAAUUUGUGUUUGUUCUUGUUCCCUCUAUCACUUCCAUCUAGUUAAACUUAUCAGUUAUCCUCAUGUCUUGUGCCCUAUUAUUUCUUUUCUUUUAUAAGUACUAGUUUUUGUGAUGGGGAAGUUCAUGCUCUAGUAUA